rnacentral:lncRNA from 1 species
UGUGGCCUCUUAAGGUUCACCCCAAGCGAUGAACCCCCAAUCCUCGUCGGAUGUCUAAGAGAUGAAAAGGAAUCAUGGUUUCCAACCAUAAACGAUGGUGGGGAUCUCCAAAAAAGAUAGGUGGACGGACAUCCUUCUUUUUUCACGGUAUCAUGUACCACCAACCACAGGACUUCGGAUGCCUUUUGAGGCUGAAGAGUGAGCGGAAGAGUGCGAUGCUAGGGUCAAUCCCCACC